rnacentral:rRNA from 1 species
GAUGAACGCUGGCGGCGUGCCUAAUACAUGCAAGUCGAGCGAACGGACGAGAAGCUUGCUUCUCUGAUGUUAGCGGCGGACGGGUGAGUAACACGUGGAUAACCUACCUAUAAGACUGGGAUAACUUCGGGAAACCGGAACUAAUACCGGAUGAUAUUUUGAACCGCAUGGUUCAAAAGUGAAAGACGGUCUUGCUGUCACUUAUAGAUGGAUCCGCGCUGCAUUAGCUAGUUGGUAAGGUAACGGCUUACCAAGGCAACGAUGCAUAGCCGACCUGAGAGGGUGAUCGGCCACACUGGAACUGAGACACGGUCCAGACUCCUACGGGAGGCAGCAGUAGGGAAUCUUCCGCAAUGGGCGAAAGCCUGACGGAGCAACGCCGCGUGAGUGAUGAAGGUCUUCGGAUCGUAAAACUCUGUUAUUAGGGAAGAACAUAUGUGUAAGUAACUGUGCACAUCUUGACGGUACCUAAUCAGAAAGCCACGGCUAACUACGUG